rnacentral:rRNA from 1 species
UGGGAAUAUUGGACAAUGGGGCAACCCUGAUCCAGCCAUGCCGCGUGUGUGAAGAAGGCCUUUUGGUUGUAAAGCACUUUAAGCAGGGAGGAGAGGCUAAAUGGUUAAUACCCAUUAGAUUAGACGUUACCUGCAGAAUAAGCACCGGCUAACUCUGUGCCAGCAGCCGCGGUAAUACAGAGGGUGCGAGCGUUAAUCGGAAUUACUGGGCGUAAAGCGAGUGUAGGUGGCUCAUUAAGUCACAUGUGAAAUCCCCGGGCUUAACCUGGGAACUGCAUGUGAUACUGAUGGUGCUAGAAUAUGUGAGAGGGAAGUAGAAUUCCAGGUGUAGCGGUGAAAUGCGUAGAGAUCUGGAGGAAUACCGAUGGCGAAGGCAGCUUCCUGGCAUAAAUAUUGACACUGAGAUUCGAAAGCGUGGGUAGCAAAACAGGAUUAGAUACCCUGGUAGUCCACGCCGUAAACGAUGUCUACUAGCCGUUGGGGUCCUUGAGACUUUAGUGGCGCAGUUAACGCGAU